GGAUACAAAGAAUAAUAAGGAUACAGAAAACGUUUAAACAUACAAUAUAUGUAGGUGCACGUUAUUUCGACGAGUUUGGCGCAAAUAUGCACAACACUGGCCGAAUCGACUUUUUCCUAUUGGUCGAAUAGAGCUGCCGUAUCGAAAACAAAUUUGAUUUAAACACAUGUGUUACUGCCAGACUGCUUCUUCAGCUAGAAUAUUUAUAAAGAUAUGUUCGUCCAAUUACACAGCUGUUCUACGUUCAAGUAAAUAUUUCAUGAAAAACCAUUUUGACAGAUUCUACAUUGAGGCAUUCGCGUUACGCCACGGAGUGAUUUAUGAGAAAUCCAGCCAACCUAAUCCUCAAUUUUUUUUUCUUUGAAAAUACAUUUUUAUCAACUAGCAACCAUUUAAUGCAUGUAAAGAAAUGAAUAAAUUACAAUUUCCUCUAAAAA